UCUCGUUGCCUGCAGUUGUCGGCUCGCUUAAAAUAUUAAAUUAAACUUUGAAAAUGAAGAAAAUAUAUGAAAUAUUCAGCACAACUGAUGUGGACAUAAUGUUGUGCACAAAAAAUUGUAUUCAGCAAGCCGCAAUAAGUUGAAAUUGUUGAAAAUAAAUGGGAUAACCAAAUGUGAACCAAACUCCACGUGUUGAAAAGUGAGACACUUGGGGACAGGCUGAAAGGUUACUAUUUCUGAGAAGGAAAAGUGCCCUCUAGCAAAUGAGGAAUCCUGGUCUGGAAUUGGCUUCAUUUGAAGGCUAAACCUUUUGCUGAAAAUUUUCUAUUGGAAGCUUAAAGCUGGGAAAGACAGACAAAAAUGAUAGACUGCCUUAGCUGUCUGUAUUUCAAUGAUUGAAGCUAUCAAAAGAUGCUGUGGUAAUAAAAUCUUCCAUUUUAAUAUAUAAAA